rnacentral:piRNA from 1 species
UGGAGUUAAUUCAUAUCCUGUCUGUGUGCA